UUAAUCCUACCACCAAUAGCAGCCUUUCCUGUUCUCAAGAGAGUGCCCAGUUGGAGUGGGGAAGGGAAACUCAGUCUGUGUUGUUUUGUUUUGGCUGAAAUUCACCCUUGUGCACAGGACUUGGGCAAUGUCGCACCAGUGGAUAGGCCAUCGGCAAUGAGGAUCAAACCUGAUAUGUCUGGAUCUUUACACCUGCACUAAAUUCAAUGGAUCUGCACCAAUUUACACUCCUAUGACUGAGAAGGGGAUCUCCAGCAGCAGUAAAUGACAGGCCAGGCAGUUAAGGCAGGCAGAAUGCGCUCCAGUCCUACCAGCUAAAAGGAGUGAUGGGAAGCAUUGCUGCUGUAAUUCAUACUCUGGUGAAAUGUCUCUGCUUUUAGUCUGUUAGACAGGGUGGAACGAAAGGCAAUGAUCAAUACAAACUACCCUUGCAUGACAA